CCACAAGAGUUAGUCACCCACCAGAAGGGGGCGACUACCACGGUGAGAUUCAUGACUGGGGUG
rnacentral:rRNA from 1 species